UGCGGGAACCUUUCGGACCCAGCCGCCGAAGGUGGGACAAAUGAUUGGGGUGAAGUCGUAACAAGGUAGCCGUAUCGGAAGGUGCGGCUGGAUCACCUCCUUUCUAAGGAA
rnacentral:rRNA from 1 species